rnacentral:rRNA from 2 species
GAAGGUUUUCGGAUCGUAAAGCUCUGUUGUUAGGGAAGAACAAGUGCCGUUCAAAUAGGGCGGCACCUUGACGGUACCUAACCAGAAAGCCACGGCUAACUACGUGCCAGCAGCCGCGGUAAUACGUAGGUGGCAAGCGUUGUCCGGAAUUAUUGGGCGUAAAGGGCUCGCAGGCGGUUUCUUAAGUCUGAUGUGAAAGCCCCCGGCUCAACCGGGGAGGGUCAUUGGAAACUGGGGAACUUGAGUGCAGAAGAGGAGAGUGGAAUUCCACGUGUAGCGGUGAAAUGCGUAGAGAUGUGGAGGAACACCAGUGGCGAAGGCGACUCUCUGGUCUGUAACUGACGCUGAGGAGCGAAAGCGUGGGGAGCGAACAGGAUUAGAUACCCUGGUAGUCCACGCCGUAAACGAUGAGUGCUAAGUGUUAGGGGGUUUCCGCCCCUUAGUGCUGCAGCUAACGCAUUAAGCACUCCGCCUGGGGAGUACGGUCGCAAGACUGAAACUCAAAGGAAUUGACGGGGGCCCGCACAAGCGGUGGAGCAUGUGGUUUAAUUCGAAGCAACGCGAAGAACCUUACCAGGUCUUGACAUCCUCUGACAAUCCUAGAGAUAGGACGUCCCCUUCGGGGGCAGAGUGACAGGUGGUGCAUGGGUUGUCGUCAGCUCGUGUCGUGAGAUGUUGGGUUAAGUCCCGCAACGAGCGCAACCCUUGAUCUUAGUUGCCAGCAUUCAGUUGGGCACUCUAAGGUGACUGCC